CGGGGGUAGCUCAGUUGGUAGAACAUGAGGCGCUUAAUCUCUGGGUAGUGGGUUCGAAUCCCGCAUUGGGGGAAAGA